rnacentral:lncRNA from 1 species
UUGUGUUGUAAGUGACUGAGUUGGGCCCAAUGAGGACAUUUUUGUCAUUUAUAUUGCCAUUGUUAGUAACAUUUUAACUAUCAGCACCAUCUUAACCUUCUAAGGGAGUCCUCCUGGCUGAGAAUUCUAUUUUCAUCAACUGCAAAAUAUCCCAGGAAAAGAAGCCUCAAAAGCUCUUUGCUUUGUCUUCUGAGCCAGAGAUUUAAGAACCACAACUCUUUGCCUACCUGGAUUGCUCCACACACACACACACACACACACACAUACACACACCACUCGAAAAUGAUUCCACCCUUAAUUCAUAAAUUAUGGACAAUUCUUUUCUUUAGAGAGAUUUUUUUGAAGAAAAUUUUGUAGAAAAGUUUUAUUUUGCUUCUUUAUUUCAAGGGAGAAAAUUAUGCAAAAUAUAUACAAAGUGUGCAUGUGCAUAGCUGUGUAUGUCUGUGUUGUGGGUGUGUGUUGUGUUUGCUCCAGAGUUCACUAGUAGAUGCAGUUGUGGAUCAAAACAAAGGACAAAAAUGCUCAUUUUGAAAUUAAUUUCAGUUUGGAUCUAUAGUCAUUUUGUACGACCCUUCUGUUUACAUAUCCUUAGUUGGAAGUGCAAAAAGAACUUCUUUCCUAAAAUGAAAUGUUUCGUUAGUAAAAGUGUUUGUCGUGGAGCCUGGGUGGCUCAGUCAGUUGAGUGUCUGCCUCUGGCUCAGGUCCUGAUCCCAGUGUCCUGGGAUUAAGUCCCUCCUUGCCUUGGGGCUCCCUGCUCAGUGAGGAGUCUGCUUCUUCCUCUCCCUCUGGCCCUCCCCACAGUCAUGCUCCUGCACACAUGCAAGAGCGCUCUUUCUCUCUCUCAUUCUCAAAUAAAUAAAUAAUUUUUUAAGCGUUUGUCUCCAGGGCUAAUCCUAAAACCCAAGUUGGAAUAUCUUUUAUAGUGGUAUCUGUAAUUGCUUUCUUCUUAGGAUGGAUGAUCCAAGCAAUCAGCCAAAAGUCUGGAAAGAGAAAAGAACAGAUCACAUCCAAAGAAUUCCUUUCAAGAUACCAUGAGGUAUGAAGGUAAUACUCCUAAACAGUGCAUGGAGUUCAGUAAUGAAGAAAAACUGGAAGCAUAAUUCAGUUAGACCCAGUAGAAAUGCUCUUAAAACAGUUUUCAACAGUUUAGCAGAAUACAGACUUUAAACAUCUACGGGAAGAACUCAUUUAUAUUGGGCUGGUCCUCAAAAUUAUGUUGAGGUACAUGUAAAAUGCUAUUUUAUUAGCAUAAUAUGGAAGCAUAAAACAAUUCUGUUCAUGGAGCAAUAAUAUAAUUAGAGCUAAAAGUUUGAUAUUCAUUUUCUUAUUUUGGAAAAUAUUUUAUAGGUUCUGACUUCAUAUGUAAGUUACAUAUAUAUCGAACACACGCACACUAAAAUAAAACCGAAUACCAAGAAAGAUGUAUAGGGGAGUUUUUAAAAAAUAAUUUUGGAUGGAGAAGGCCUUUCUCAACAUGAUAUAAAAUCCAGAAGCCAUAAUGACAAAAACCAAAAUAUUUUAUUACAUAAAAAUUUAACAUAUCUGUGUGACAAAAAAUAAAUAAAUAAAUAAACCCACAACAUAGAAAGACAAAAAAAAAAAAAAAAAUUCAGGAAAAGAUACCUGCAAUGUAUUUAACAGGAAAAGGUUUGAAUCCUCAUGACAGAUUAAAAAUGGCCACAAAUUCUUAACAGGCUCCCCAUCAAGGGCUGGGCCCUGCCUGUUUCCCUUCCCACUGGUGCUGGGAAGAUGCUAUACUGGUUCUGGGCCUACCUGGGCCUUAAGAGACCACAGGCUUUCACUUCCUGCCUCUUGGAACACACUCUCUCACAAUCCCUAAGUUACAACAACAGAAAAAAACAAAUGACAAACUGGAAGAUUUAGCAAUAUAUAAUAACAUAGCAUACCAAUUUCCUUCUUACACAAAAAGCACCUACAAAUCCAUAAAGAAACAGAAAAACAUAAGAAGAAUACUAAAAAAUAUAAAGCAAUUCAGAACAAGGGAAGUGUAAAUGGCAAAUAACCUAUCAGCAACCUGACUCACAAUGAAAUACACGUUCUUUUAGAUAAUAAAAUUCUUUUUAUCAUAUUUAUUAAAGUUUUCUAAAGUUUGUAUGAUAUUCAACAUUGGUGAGUAUGUGGGUUAAAGACACCUUUGCAAACCAUUUCUGCAACUGUAAAUUGGCGAAACUUACUGGUGGGGAAGUUGGCAGUAAGUUGCAAAAUGCAUAGGCAUGUGUCAUUCAAUACUUUAAUUCUAUUGUUAGGAAUUUAUGUGUUGCGCAAGGUUAGAGUGUCCAAUUUUCCCAGGACAGCCAGGUUCAACAAGAUAGCCAUGUUGUCUUAGCAUCUUCUUUUAUUUUCAAAUUUCUUAGUUUAGAAAACAAAUUAUAUGACAAUAGCCCUAGUGUUGGAUUUUUUUUUUUCGGAACUAUUUAUAAUAGCAAAGCACAACAAACUUCCUAAAAGUCUAUCAAUAGAUUGUAUAGAAGUUCAUAAAAAUUAUGAUAUACCUGUUCAAUGGGGGGGAGGCUAUUAAGCAAUUAGUGAUAGCCAUGUAGAGUCAUUCUCAGUACAUGUUCUCUAAACCAUAUGGGACAGAAAGGAGAGAAAAAAACAAAAAACAAACAAACAAAAAA